UUAUGCUUAACACAUGCAAGUCGAACGGAGAAAUAGGAAGGAAUCCCUUCGGGGAGGAAUUCCUAAUUCUUAGCGGCGGACGGGUGCGUAACACGUGGGUAACCUGCCCUUAUCACCGGGAUAACACACUGAAAAGUGUGCUAAUACCGGAUAACAUCAACUUAUGGCAUCAUAAGAUGAUCAAAGCGUUAGCGGAUAAGGAUGGGCCCGCGUCUGAUUAGCUAGUUGGUAGAGUAACGGCCUACCAAGGCAACGAUCAGUAGCCGACCUGAGAGGGUGAUCGGCCACACUGGAACUGAGACACGGUCCAGACUCCUACGGGAGGCAGCAGUGGGGAAUAUUGCACAAUGGGCGAAAGCCUGAUGCAGCAACGCCGCGUGAGCGAUGAAGGCCUUCGGGUCGUAAAGCUCUGUCCUAUGGGAAGAUAAUGACGGUACCAUAGGAGGAAGCCCCGGCUAACUACGUGCCAGCAGCCGCGGUAAUACGUAGGGGGCAAGCGUUAUCCGGAAUUACUGGGCGUAAAGGGUGCGUAGGCGGUUUAUCAAGUCAGGGGUGAAAGGCUACGGCUCAACCGUAGUAAGCCUCUGAAACUGGUGAACUUGAGUGUAGGAGAGGAAAGUGGAAUUCCCA
rnacentral:rRNA from 1 species